rnacentral:lncRNA from 1 species
GGCAGAUAUAUAUUGACUUGAUUAACAAUUUAUCUCCUUGUCAGAUUUCCUCUAAAUGAUUUGGGUUUCAGAGUUAUAAGCAAAAAACUACAUUUUACCCCUGUUCUAUUUUUAGCCGUGGCGGCCAUCUUGGUUGGAUGGCCAGGUCAUCGGACACAUUUUUCAAACAAGGUACCUUAAAGAUGAUUGUGGCCAAGUUUGAAUUAAUUUGGCCCAGUAGUUUCAGAGGAGAAGAUUUUUGUAAAAGAUAACUAAGAUUUACGAAAAAUGGUUAAAAAUUGACUAUAAAGGGCAAUAACUCCUAAAGGGGUCAACUGACCAUUUCGGUCAUGUUGACUUAUUUGUAAAUCUUACUUUGAUGAACAUUAUUGCUGUUAACAGUUUAUCUCUAUCUAUAAUAAUAUUCAAGAUAAUAACCAAAAACAGCAAAAUUUCCUCAAAAUUACCAAUUCAGGGGCAGCAACCCAACAACAGGUUGACUGAUUCAUCUGAAAAUUUCAGGGCAGAUAGAUCUUGACCUGAUAAACAUUUUUACUCCAUGUCAGAUUUGCUCUAAAUGCUUUGGUUUUUGAGUUAUAAGCCAAAAACUGCAUUUUACCCCUAUGUUCUAUUUUUAGCCGUGGCGGCCAUCUUGGUUG